GAUGAACGCUAGCUCCAGGCUUAACACAUGCAAGUCGAGGGACCGGCGCACGGGAGAGUAACACGUAUCCAACCUGCCCUUUACUCGGGGAUAGCCUUUCGAAAGAAAGAUUAAUACCCGAUAUCAAGGAUGGGGAUGCGUUCGCUUAGGUUGUUGGUGAGGUAACGGCUAACCAAGCAUUCGAUGGAUAGGGGUUCUGAGAGGAAGGGCCCCGACAUUGGAUCUGUGGCACGAGCCAAACUCCUACGGUAGGCAGCAGUGAGGAAUAUUGGUCAAUGGGCGCUAGCCUGAACCAGCCAAGUAGCGUGAAGGAUGAAGGCUUAUGGGUCGUAAACUUCUUUUAUAUAGGAAGAUGUAUUAUAUGAAUAAGGAGCGGCUAACUCCGUGCCAGCAGCCGCGGUAAUUC
rnacentral:rRNA from 1 species